rnacentral:lncRNA from 1 species
AUGUGGCAAAGUGCACGUGUGUUCAGCAGAAAAGUGGGCUUCUCCUUCACUGUUUUAAUCUAUAUCAAAAUCUAUAUCCCAAAUCAGUGUUAUGUGGAGGCUCUGGUGAAUAUUUUUCAGUGGAAUCUUCUCAAAAUGGGAGUCAGAAGAUGCACAGCAGAAAUGAAAAAGGAAGCACAUCUGUCCCAUGGCCCAGCUUCAGUUCUGGCUCUGUUGAUGUCCCAAACUGAACUCUAGCGCCUUGGGCUAGCACUCUCAGCAGCCACAUGACCUACUUUUCUCAUGAUCUGUAAGAACAACAUCAGAAAUGCUUACUCUGUGUCAAGUUAUAGAAAUUAGGUAUUUUUGUCUCUGUUUUUGUUUUGCGGAGAAAAGCUGGGACGUAAUGUUAACAAGAGCCAUACAUACUGUCUUUGGAGUGCUAAUCUGAAAACACAAUUACUAAUGAAAUAUUUUUGCUUUUAUUAUAAUGCUUUUAGAGAAUAUUUAAUAUUCAGCCAAUUAAUACUGAUUAUUUAAGUAAAGUUAUAUGUCAUUGUGAAUUACGUUUUUAAAAAGUGAC